UCUAAAAAUAAAAAGGUAAUACUCCUGAGGAAACCUCUACUCUUUGACGGCCUUUCUUCUUAUCAAAGGAACUUGUUUAUUAAUCGAAAUUGCACGUUAAUUUUUUCUCUCUCUCAAAGUUUUUAUACCGUCGUCUCAAGAACUAAUUUCAAAAUUAGUUCUUGAUUGAAUAAUCAAAUAAGACAGAUCAAGGUAAAGCCCAUGAGAAAGAAAACAAUGAGUUAUCCAUAAAAAUAAUUUAUAAAUUUCCAUUAAAAAAGAAAAUGAAUCAAGAUUUGAAAGUAUUUUUAAGUUAAUAACUUAUAAAGAAUUAGUAAAAAAAGGUGU
rnacentral:rRNA from 1 species